rnacentral:rRNA from 1 species
UACGGAGGAUGCAAGUGUUAUCCGGAAUCACUGGGCGUAAAGCGUCUGUAGGUGGUUCGAAAAGUCCACUGUUAAAAAUUGAGGCUUAACUUCAAAGAUGCCGUGGAAACUUUCAAACUAGAGUAUGGUAGGGGUAGAGGGAAUUUCCAGUGGAGCGGUGAAAUGCGUAGAUAUUGGAAAGACCACCGAUGGCGAAGGCACUCUACUGGGCCAUUACUGACACUGAGAGACGAAAGCUAGGGUAGCAAAUGGG